AUUGAACGCUGGCGGCAGGCUUAACACAUGCAAGUCGAGCGGGGGAAGGUAGCUUGCUACUGGACCUAGCGGCGGACGGGUGAGUAAUGCUUAGGAAUCUGCCUAUUAGUGGGGGACAACAUCUCGAAAGGGAUGCUAAUACCGCAUACGUCCUACGGGAGAAAGCAGGGGAUCUUCGGACCUUGCGCUAAUAGAUGAGCCUAAGUCGGAUUAGCUAGUUGGUGGGGUAAAGGCCUACCAAGGCGACGAUCUGUAGCGGGUCUGAGAGGAUGAUCCGCCACACUGGGACUGAGACACGGCCCAGACUCCUACGGGAGGCAGCAGUGGGGAAUAUUGGACAAUGGGGGGAACCCUGAUCCAGCCAUGCCGCGUGUGUGAAGAAGGCCUUAUGGUUGUAAAGCACUUUAAGCGAGGAGGAGGCUACUUUAGUUAAUACCUAGAGAUAGUGGACGUUACUCGCAGAAUAAGCACCGGCUAACUCUGUGCCAGCAGCCGCGGUAAUACAGAGGGUGCGAGCGUUAAUCGGAUUUACUGGGCGUAAAGCGUGCGUAGGCGGCUUAUUAAGUCGGAUGUGAAAUGCCCGAGCUUAACUUGGGAAUUGCAUUCGAUACUGGUGAGCUAGAGUAUGGGAGAGGAUGGUAGAAUUCCAGGUGUAGCGGUGAAAUGCGUAGAGAUCUGGAGGAAUACCGAUGGCGAAAGCAGCCAUCUGGCCUAAUACUGACGC
rnacentral:rRNA from 1 species